AAUUUUAUGAGUCAGCUGUUUUUGUUUACGUUUUCGCAACGCUAUUUUUACGAUGGAAUGUCACCUCGUACAGAAUAUUCACGGUUGGUUGGCAUGUAUUUCAAUGAUACAUGAUGCACUAAUGUGUUUACCUUAUUUGCUUAUUUAUUUUCUUAAUGUAAUAACUUGUGUUUUAGCCGUAAUCGUCUAAAUACCAGCAGUGCCAUAGUUUAUUUACAAGAGAAGCCAUAUUUAUUUGUGUAUUGGCGGUCUGCAACACGAGAUUGCCUGUGAACAUAACAAACGUUUUGAUUGGUCGAUCCAUUGACCGGAAAAUUAUAAAUAGAAGGUUGACGAAACGAACUUUAGAUUUAAUCUCACCGCCUGCAAGAGCAGUCGGAAUUUAUGCUGUCUUGAUGUCCUUAUAAUUUAGUGUGAAGGUUUUGAAUGUUUUAAGAAAACUAAACCUUCUUACACAUGGCAAUUGUUUGUUUUGAAGAAGAAGAAGACGACCUUCGACCUACGGGAAAGUCCCGUCAGCUGUCGUUCCACUUAGUCAACUUUCUAUAAAUACGAUGAGAGAGGUUUUCUGGAAAUCUACUUUCGGUUUAGGAAAUAAGAUAUAUGAAUAUCUUUUUAUAAAUCAACCCUUUUUAAGUAUUUUAUACUUUUGGAAAUAGAAGGUUGAAAAGUUCAACCUUCUAUCAAAUCAACCUACGGAAACAAGUCAACCUAAAUGGGAAUUUGAAGUCAACCCUCCUGAUCUAUAAAUAAAGAUGAUUACGGCAAAUUGUAUAUAAAUAUGAAUGUAUGUUUUUAUGAUCAAUUGUAAAUAUUUGAUUA
rnacentral:lncRNA from 1 species